UAAUCACUUGUCUUUUAAAUGAAGACCUGUAUGAAUGGCAUCACGAAGGUUCAACUGUCUCCUUCCCCCAGUCAAUGAAAUUGAUCUGCCCGUGCAGAAGCGGACAUAAAAACAUAAGACGAGAAGACCCUGUGGAGCUUUAGGCCAAGGAUCAAACAUGUAAAACAGACUUAAUCCCUAAAAAGAAUAAUAAAAGUCCCAAAACCAAGAGUAAUCUGAUCCUAAUGCCUUCGGUUGGGGCGACCGCGGGGGAAAACAAAGCCCCCACAUGGAAUGGAACUACUUCCUAAACCAAGAGUUACAACUCUAAGUAACAGAAUUUCUGACCACCUAUGACCCAGGACAAACAUAAACCUGAUCAAUGAACCAAGUUACCCCAGGGAUAACAGCGCAAUCCUUUCCCAGAGUCCA
rnacentral:rRNA from 1 species